rnacentral:lncRNA from 1 species
UUUUCAAAAAGAUCAUUUUCAAAUUCUCUUCCAUGAUCACCUUGGAUAGACAUAAUUUUCAAAUCCUUUUCAAUUUCUAUCCUUUUAUAGAGUUUGCAAAAGACAUUAAAAGCCUCAUCCUUAUGAGUUAUAAAUAGAACCCAAGUUGACGUAGAAAACUCAUUUACAACUACUAAUCCAUAGCGUUUACCACUCAUAGAUUUAGUUCUUGUAGGUCUAAACAAACCGUUAGGCAGCAUUUUAUAAUUAAGUUCUUGCCUUCUGAAGAUACCAAGCGUAUGUAUAUACUUCAUCAAAAGAUGAGGUAUUUGUUGAGAUCAUAGUAUCAUUUGAUCAGGUAAACACUUCUUUAACUUUUGUCUCUUUUUAGACAGAUAAUGUUUAACUUGUUUAGGCUUUCCUAAUGAUUAUGUCAUUUAAUCCGUUUUGUCAGAUUGUCUCGACUUAUUUUGUUUUCGAGAGAAGCCAAAUACCCAAUUUAGGUAUUAUAAGCAUUGAGCGUUUAACUCAACCUCUCUUGGACAAUUUAGGACAAGACAUCGCGUAGUCACGCGUCUAGGUGUUUUAGCCUGGUUAUUUUUCUAUUUCCUGAUACCUAAGUGUUUUUCUAUGUUUGGGGUUCUGGGUUGUGUUUGUUUGGGGUUUAGGCUCUAAGUCUUGUGUUUUCACCCUAGGUUAUUUUUUUAUUAUUAACCCGUUUUAAUGUUAUUUGAUUAAACUUCAAAACAUGAGAGUGUUUGUUCGCAUAGACGAUUUUGUCUAAAACACAUUUUAGAUUAUUCAUAGCAAAUUCAACCAAAGUAUAGUCUCAAUCAAAUUCUACAUGUCUAAUCAUGUUUAUUCUUUGUUUCCUUGCCAAGUAAAAAGCUAAUUAACCAACUGAUUUUGCACCAGAACAACAAGCAUGUCUCAACUUAGACCGAAGCUCAACUUCCUAAGAUGCAAGAAAGCCGUAGUGAUUUCUCUCUCUCUCCAGGUUGUCCAUUUUUAUGUUCAAUGCUUGUAGGUCCUCUUGUUGUUGGCGGAGCUGGUCAUUCUGUUUCAUCUACACCUUGAUUUAUUUUGCUUAUUUUCCAUUUGGAUGGAUUCCAUCUCGUUUCAUGGAGCGGGGGACUUAAACACCUAUGCUUUUGGUGAUGACCAUGAAAGAGUAAGGUUAAGGAGUAGUUUUACCAAGUCACAUAGACGACAAUGUUCUUAUCGAAAUAUGGAACGUAGAUCUUUCGAUAUGUGGCAAGAUCUAGAGGUGAUUCUAAUGAUCUUUAUGGCUGAAUGCCUUUGAUGGCUCGAAUAAAGGAGAAAGGUCUAUCUACAAAAGACUCUUUGAUGCUC